rnacentral:piRNA from 1 species
UGGAGAACUCAGCUUUACCAUGCCAGCAGA